rnacentral:lncRNA from 1 species
GCGCUGCUCACCCACGCCGUACUUCUCCUCGCGCUUGGUGGGCACCCAGCGCGUCAUGGCGCCGCCGGAGCCGCCGCGGGUCGGGCAGGAAACUCCGCGUCUAGGCCGCCAUUUUCCAUUCCUUUCGAGCCGCGACAGGAUGGGGAGGAAAAAGUUUGCGGCGGAGGCGGCGUCAUGUGGGACGGGGCGGGCGGAGCGUCGCGGGCCGGAUGGGAAAGGCCGGGAGCGCCGGCGGGAGGCGGGACGGCCGCGGGCUCUGCGCCCGCCCUCGGCGCGGACCCUGGGCCCCGACCCCGCGGUCGCCGGGGCUCCCCUUCCUCUGUCCCAGUGCGCCCAGCCCCGCGCUCCGCACCCGGGCACCCCCGCGGGGUUCUCCUGAGUUCCUGGAGCUCCCGGGGCUGGCGCUCACGCCGUGAGAGGGGUGCGCCCUUAGGGGGGCGGGACGGACGGGGGGUUUCUACGGGAGGUAGGAAACGGGCGGCUUGCAAGGCGCGGGCUUAGGCCGGAGCCUGGUGGUGCGAGGUCCCCAGCUCGGAUUUCUCCCUGGUGGAGAGUCCCGGAGCAGAACAAACCAGCAGAGGCUCUGGAAAGGGUCCUCCUGAGCACGUGGCUCAUUCAUUCAUUCGACAAACGUUACCUGAGCGCCUGCCCACUCAUUGCCCGAGUGUGCUGGGAGCGCCGCACCAACUGCCUGGUAGGUGGGAGAAGGGACACGUCAGGUAACAAACAGCACAGGUAAGUGCCGGCCACUCAAAUGGGGUGGAAAGAGGUGGCACAGCGCUGCCGAGGGAGUGCGUUCCAGACAGGUGACCUCUUGCUUGGGUGCUGAAUGAGUGGAGUUUUCCAGAGAGACCAAGAGGAAGCAGCCGCAGAAACCUCAGCCCAGCUGGGCUUGCAGAAGCUAAUGCUAGAAUAGUUGUGGGACUCAGGAUCUGCUGAAGUCGGGGGAAGAGAGAAGUAGGGAAAGGAAAGCCCAGGCCACGCGUGGGGCUCAGGAACGGCAUCCUCGCCCGAGGUGGGAGUUCUUCUCAGGCCCUGGUGUUUCCCAUGACAGUAAAAGGUGGGGGCUUCAGAUUUCUCCAAGGGAAAAGUUAAAGCAACACACACCUAUUUAUUUUUACUGUAAUUUCAGAAAAGAGAGGUUAAAACCAAGACAUGGACAAAGCCUCCGAAUGAAGGCAGCCCUUUAAAUGGAAUAAAUUUGGUUUCAUGGCACAUUAAUGGGGUGUCUUCUCUCCGAAGACACAGAGACAACUACAGUAGGUCUGGGGGCCGUCAGGGAUUGGAGGAACGAAGGUAAGAAAAGGAAGAAGGUAAGAAAAAGAGGUCCCUACCUCUGUGAGGUAGGGACAGUGCUGAACAGCAGGGCUGGGAGAGCCCACAGGGAGGUGGCCAGGAUGGCCACAGGGCCUGGGGAGGACCAGGUGGGGCACCAUCCUGCGGUAGAGAAUGCCCGUCACCUGCCCUAGGGGCCACCCAGAAUGCAGAUUAAAUAAGUAUUUGGGAAUGGCACAGGAGCUUUUCCAUUUUCGUGGGUUAGAGGAAAGCUGCUGCGUUCAAGAGGAUAACGUGGGACCUGAGCAUUCUGGUAAGUCAACCCCACAUUCAUGGAAAGCCACGGGCUCUGUUUUACUGAUAAGGAACUGAAGUCCCACAGAGGAAGUGGCCAGGCUCACUCACACACAGCAUGCACUUGAAGCUUUCUGUGGAAAUCAGAAACCUCCGGGGCUCAGGCGCUGUAGUGGUGGCCUGGUGACUCUGACCCCUUGAAGGAGAAGCAUCUGUGAAGGUGCUGUCCAGGACAAGUAGGGUGCUCUACGGUAAAGGACAUGGUGGCCUGACCUGCUCCAGAGCAGGGAGGCCUCCCUUGAGGAAAUAAGAUAAACCCAGACUUUAAGGAUAAGCAGAAACCAGCUAGGUGAACUGGAGUGGGAACAGCACGUGAAAAGGCCCUGGUUUAGGAAGGAGCACCACUCCUUCAGAGCACAGAAAGGCCAGGAUGGCCGAAGCAUAGGGAACAACAGGAAAGUGACAUAAAUUGAGGCUGCAGAGGUAGAAGAAGGGCCUUAUUGGUCGUGCUAGGAAUUUGGAAUUCUGCAAAGAAGCCUGGGAAACAGAUUUUGGUGACACUCGCCUUCUCUUUAAUGUGCAGUUUCAGUUCUGUUGGUGUGAUUCUGCAUUGGAGAUGGCGUGCUGUAACGAAUGGCCAGGAGCUUAAGAGUCAUGCAGACUUGGGAGGCCUGGCCUUGCCACGCCCAGCUGCAUGGCCAUCCUCCUCCUGUUUCUGGCCGUUCUGUUUCUAAACCUUGGGGUUCUGAUAUUCCUACAUGUAAACUAGGGGCUGUAAUAGGAAUCUCACAGGUGAGUCUUAGGAUUAUAAGAGGAGACAUGACUGCAUGUGUAAGACAUCAUAAUGAUGUGCUUCCUCAUCUGACCCUACCUCCAGGUUCUUUGAUAACCUCAUGGUUCCCAUUUUCUAGAACAGUUGCCACUUGCACUCAGAUAAAGGUGACUCACUGAAUGCAUAAAUAAGUGUAGUGCCGGAUUUGCAUACUUUUGGUAGACUGUCAUAUAAUAAAUUUAUAAAUCAGAAUUUUAAAACUCCAGGUGGGGCCGGGCACAGUGGCCCAUGCUUGUAAUCCCAGCCAGCAUUUUGGGAGGCUGAGGCAGGCAGAUCACUUGAGGUCAGGAGCUCGAGGUCAGCCUGGCCAACCAGGGUUUUAGUAGAAACCCUGUCUGUACUAAAAAUACAAAAAUUAGCUGGGCGUGGGUGCGCAUACCUGUAGUCCCAGCUACUCAGGAGGCUGAGGCAGGAGAAUUGUUUGAACCCAGGAGGUGGAGAUUGCAGUGAAGCAAGAUCGCACCGCUGCACUCCUGCCUGGGUGACAGAGUGAGACUCCAUCUCAAAAACAAACAAAACAAAACUCCAGGUGGACCACGGGCCAGGUGGUUGUAGCUUCAGUCCCUUGAUUGCAACAUGUGCCCAAGUUUGGCUGAGAUGUACCUGUAGCCACGGUCCUUGAAGCCCUGAGAAGAUUUGUCAGCAUCCCCACGGUGCUCCAGCAGUGCUCUCAUCUUGUGGCUCUAAAUCGAGUCCAUGGCCCUCUCUCACUGUCCUAUGGUUGCAUAAGCUCAGAACUGGCUUCGUCUCCAAUUCCAGGAGCCCUGGAGGUUGUGGCCUGUUGACAUUUUUACCUCCUGAGUCAAUGUGGCUGGGCCACAGGUCUCAGUUGCCCUCCCAGGCAUCUUGCAGGACUUGGAUCUGUGCCAAGCUUGUGGGUGUGAACAAGCCCAAGAAUGCUGAGGCUCUCAGUUGCUCAGUGCUGCCCAUCACUGGGAUUUCAGAGUAGUGACCCCCCUCCUCCAAGAUACAACAGAAUCUUGCUUUGGGGCCAUGAAGAACACAAUCAAUAUUACAGUUUUAAAUCUUGAAAAGUACAGUUUUAAUUUUUUUAAUUCCAAAAAAUUUCACACAUGUGCACUGCAAAUUCAGGAGGUAAAUUCAGCAAAAUCUUGCCUGGUGGAGGUACCAGAAGGCACAGUGAGUCAAUGGGGCAUGUUUCUCAGUCGGUGGGGAGAGAUGAGAAUGGAACAGGGAUGUGGAGAUUUUAUGCAGGAAAAGGGGCCUGACCACAGAUUUUUUGCCCUUUGAAAGGAGAGGAACAAGGCCUAUGCCCACUGCCUCUUGGAUUCAGUGGGAGAUCUGGGCAUCAUACUGGAUGACCAGGCAUGUAGUCACAAUGCACAAUGCCACCCAGCCCAAAAGUGUAUAUUCAAGACUUUAGACCCAACUUCGUGCUUACAGGAAAUAGAGGAGGUUGAGGAACAAGUGACACCAUAAGAAAUACAGUGAAACAGGCCAGGCACCGUGGCUCAUGCCUGUAACUCUGAGCACUUUGGGAGGCCGAGAUGGGCAGAUCACCUGAGGUCAGGAGUUCAAGACUAGUCUGGCCAACGUGGUGAAACCCCAUCUCUACUAAAAAAAAAUAUCUGGGCAUGGUGGCAGGCACCUGUAAUCCCAGCUACUCAAGAGGCUGAGGCAUGAGAAGCACUGGAACCCGGGAGGCCGAGGUUGCAGUGAACAGAGAUCGUGCCAUUGCACUCCAGCCUGGGGGAACAAGAGUGAAACUCCAUCUCAAAAAAAAAAAAAAAAGACACUGAAACAAAGCCAGAAGGUAGAAUAUUCUUUCAGGUAGUAGUCUGGUCUCUUCAAUAGUCAAUAUUAUAGAGCAAGAAGGGGCCAGUGGAGAAGAGCUGUUCUAGAUUUUAAAAGAUGUAAGAAAUACAACAUUUGGCCGGGCGCGGUGGCUCACGCCUGUCAUCCCAGCACUUAGGUAGGCCGAGGUGGGCGGAUCAUGAGGUCAGGAGAUCGAGACCAUCCUGGCUAACAUGGUGAAACCCCGUCUCUACUAAAAAUAGAAAAAAUUAGCCGGGCAUGGUGGCAUGCACCUGUAGUCCCAGCUACUCAGGAGGUUGAGGCAGGAGAAUGGCGUGAACCCGGGAGGCGGAGCUUGCAGUGAGCCGAGAUCGCGCCACUGCACUCCAGCCUGGGUGACAGAGCAAGACUCCAUCUCAAAAAAAGAAAAGAAAAGAAAUACAACAUUUAAAUGCACUGUGUUAUCCUUAAUUGGAAACUGCUUUAAUUAUCCAACACUAAAAAAAUGUCAAGGGCAAGAGGUGGUUUGAACUAUGGACUGGUGUUAGAUGAUGUAUUUUUUUUAUUUUGUUAAGUAUAAUAAUAGUUGUUAUGGUUAGGUGGGAAAAGAUCCUUAAAUUUUAGAGCUGCAUGCUGGAGUAUUUAGAAGUGAACCGUCAUUGUAUUUGUUAUUUAAAAUACUACAGGAAUAAACAAGAUGAAGCAAAAUUGCUCAGUCUAGAUAUGGGUCUAUGAGUGUUUCAUCUUUCUACUUUUUUCUCCAUGUUUGAAAUCCUUGGUAAAAUAAAGUCAAAGUGGAGGAAGGAGGAGCUUGAGAUUGAAAAAUCAGUUUGAGAAGCAGCCACCUUGACUGGCUUCACUCUAAUAGCCUGGACGCUGCCUCCACACUCCAGGUGCACUGCUCAGCAUUCUCCAAGAAGAUCAUUAAGGCAGACCCUACGUGUUAAAUUUCAAUCAGUUUCAUUGAGCAAAUAUGCUGUUAAAUAGAGACUGCUGUGUGCUGCGUCAGUGUGCCUUAUGGGCAAAUGUGAUGGUGACUAUAAAUGCAGACCAAGCAGUCCUUCCCACACUGUGUACACAAAGAAAGGAGCUCUGGAACUGGGAGCCAGGACAUCUGCAGGAGGAGAAUUCUGAAGUGAAAGGAGGCCUGGAUAUUGGUUGCAAGGCCUUGUCCCUGGAGCCUGGAUGCUCUCAUACCUUCUACAUCUGGGCCUCUGGGUCCAGGACAGUGCCAGGGAGAGUUCAUAGAAACAAAUGUGUUGAAGACCUUAGCGGUUGUCUGACUCUGAGACAGUUACCUGGCCACUCUUAAGUUUCCUCAUUUUUUUUUUAAUUUUACUUUAAGUUGCGGGAUACAUGUGCAGAACGUGCAGGUUUGUUACAUAGGUAUGCAUGUGCCAUGGUGGUUUGCUGCACCUGUCAACCUUUCAUCUAGGUUUUAAGCCCCUCAUGCAUUAGAUAUUUGUCCUAAUGCUCUCCUUCCCCUUGGCCCCCUGUCAGGUCCUGGUGUGUGUGUUGUCUGGCCCCCACCGUGUCCAUGUGUUCCUAUUGUUCAUCUCCCAUUUAUGAGUGAGAAUAUGUGGUGUUUGGCUUUCUCUUCCUGUGUUAGUUUGCUGAGGAUGAUGGUUUCCAGCUUCAUCCAUGUCCCUGCAGAGGACAUGAUCUCAUCCUUUUCAUGGCUGCAUAGUAUUCCGUGUUGUGUAUAUACCACAUUUUCUUUAUCCAGUCUUUCAUUGGUGGACAUUUGGGUUGGUUUCAUGUCUUUGCUAUUGUAAAUAGUGCUGCAAUAAACAUUAUGUGUGCAUGUGUCUUUAUAGUAAAAUGAUUUCUAUUCCUUUGGGUAUAUACCCAGCAAUGGGAUUACUGGGUCACAUGAUAUUUUUUGGUUCUAGGUCCU